rnacentral:rRNA from 1 species
GCUGACCAGCUAGCCCACCCUAACAAAAACAACAACCCAAUAUAAAUAACCCCAAACACACUACUCCUCCUAUAAACAAACCAUUUUACCCCCCUAGUAUGGGCGACAGAAAAGGAACUAUUGGAGCGAUAGAGAAAGUACCGCAAGGGAACGCUGAAAGAGAAAUGAAAUAACCCAGUAAAGCCUAAAAAAGCAGAGAUUUUACCUCGUACCUUUUGCAUCAUGAUUUAGCUAGUACUACCCAAGCAAAGAGAACUUUAGUUUGGACCCCCGAAACUAGGUGAGCUACUCCAAGACAGCCUAUCAAUAGGGCAAACCCGUCUCUGUGGCAAAAGAGUGGGAAGAGCUUUGAGUAGAGGUGACAGACCUACCGAACCUAGUUAUAGCUGGUUGCCUGAGAAUUGGAUAGGAGUUCAGCCUCCAGGCUUCUCUAUUCACCGCGGUCUUACCCCUACCGAUGCACUAAAGAAGCCUAGAGAGUUAAUCAAAGGGGGUACAGCCCCUUUGAGACAAGAUACAACUUUUCCAGGAGGGUAAAGAUCAUAUUUACCCAAGGUAACAAUGCCCAGGUGGGCCUAAAAGCAGCCAUCCUUACAGAAAGCGUUAAAGCUCAAGCAUUACACCUUCCCACAUAUUCAGAUAACCACAUCCCAACCCCCUAAUAUUAUCAGGCCAUCUCAUGCAUACAUGAGAGUGCACAUGCUAAUAUGAGUAACAAGAGAGCCUCCGCCUCUCUCCUUGCACACGUGUAAAUCGGAACGAACCCCCACCGAAACUUAACGGCCCCAAACAAAGAGGGCAAUGAACAACAAGUAAGCAACCAGAAAACCAUCCAAAAAACAACCGUUAACCCCACACUGGUGUGCCAUUAAGGAAAGACUAAAAGAAAAAGAAGGAACUCGGCAAACAUACCAAGCCUCGCCUGUUUACCAAAAACAUCGCCUCUUGCAAAAACAAAGAAUAAGAGGUCCAGCCUGCCCUGUGACUAUAUGUUUAACGGCCGCGGUAUUUUAACCGUGCGAAGGUAGCGCAAUCACUUGUCUUUUAAAUGGAGACCUGUAUGAAUGGCAUUACGAGGGCUUAACUGUCUCCUUUUUCUAGUCAGUGAAAUUGAUCUCCCCGUGCAGAAGCGGGGAUGUAACCAUAAGACGAGAAGACCCUAUGGAGCUUUAGACACCAAGGCAUAUCAUGUCAAACACCCCUAAACAAAGGACUAAACCAAAUGAAUCAUGCCCCCAUGUCUUUGGUUGGGGCGACCGCGGGGAAAUAAAAAACCCCCACGUGGAAUGGGAGUACUACCUCCUACAACCAAGAGCUGCAGCUCUAAAAAACAGAAUAUCUGACCAAUAAGAUCCGGCAACGCCGAUCAACGGACCGAGUUACCCUAGGGAUAACAGCGCAAUCCCCUUUUAGAGCCCAUAUCGACAAGGGGGUUUACGACCUCGAUGUUGGAUCAGGACAUCCUAAUGGUGCAGCCGCUGUUAAGGGUUCGUUUGUUCAACGAUUAAAGUCCUACGUGAUCUGAGUUCAGACCGGAGUAAUCCAGGUCAGUUUCUAUCUAUGAUAUGUUCUUUUCUAGUACGAAAGGACCGAAAAGAAGAGGCCAAUGCUAAAAGCACGCCUCACCCCUCCUAUUGAAAACAACUAAAAUAGGCAAAAGGGCAUACCCCUCCACGCCCAAGAUAAUGGCAU